AGGGCGCAUGGCGGAUGCCUUGGCUCUCAGAGGCGAUGAAGGACGUGAUAAGCUGCGAUAAGCUUCGGGUAGGUGCAAAUAACUAUUGAUCCGAAGAUUUCCCAAUGGGGCAACCCACCCGGAUGAAGUCCGGGUAUUAUAGGUUUUUGAAUCUAUAAGGCUAACCCGCUGAACUGAAACAUCUAAGUAGGCGGAGGAAAAUAAAACAAUUGUGAUUCCCUCAGUAGCGGCGAGCGAAGCGGGAACAGCCCAAACCCUGCAUGUUUUUUUUGCAUGCAGGGGGUUAUAGGACUGCCGUAUUUAAAUUUUAUUAAGAAGUGGAACAUUCUGGAAAGUUUGAUCAUAGUGGGUGAUAAUCCCGUACACGUAAUUAAUAUUUUUUAAGGCAUACUCCUGAGUAGCGCGGGACACGAGAAAUCCUGUGUGAAUUUGCCGGGCCCAUCCGGUAAGGCUAAAUACUCCUGAGAGACCGAUAGUGCACCAGUACCGUGAGGGAAAGGUGAAAAGUACCCCUAACAGGGGAGUGAAAUAGUACCUGAAACCGUGCGCUUACAAUCUGUCGGAGCUCCUCCUAAAGGCGGAGUGACGGCGUGCCUUUUGCAUAAUGAGCCUACGAGUUAUUCCUUACCAGCUGUGGUUAAUUCUGUUAACAGAAGGAGCCUUAGCGAAAGCGAGUCUUAACAGGGCGUUUUUUUGGUUGGUAGGGAUAGACGCGAAACCUUGUGAUCUACCCAUGGUCAGGUUGAAGUUUCGGUAACACGAAAUGGAGGACCGAACCACUAGACGUUGAAAAGUUUUUGGAUGAACUGUGGGUAGGAGUGAAAGGCUAAUCAAACUGGGAAAUAGCUCGUACUCCCCGAAAUGCAUUUAGGUGCAGCCUUAAUAUAGUUUUACAGAGGUAGAGCUACUGAUAGGACGCGAGGGCUUCAUCGCCUAUCAACUCCUGCCAAACUCCGAAUGCUGUAAAAUGAUUAUUAGGAGUGAGGGCAUGGGUGCUAAGGUCCAUGUCCGAGAGGGAAAGAACCCGGACCAUCAGCUAAGGUCCCCAAAUAUAUGCUAAGUUGAACAAACGCGGUAUGGUUGCCUUGACAGCUAGGAUGUUGGCUUGGAAGCAGCCACUCAUUUAAAGAGUGCGUAACAGCUCACUAGUCGAGCGGCCGUGCAUGUAUGAUAAUCGGGCAUAAGCAUAUUACCGAAGCUAUGGUUCCAACUUUAUUAAGUUGGGAGGUAGGGGAGCAUUCCAAACUGCGCUGAAGCAGUGCUGUGAGGCAUUGUGGAGCGUUUGGAAACGCAAAUGUAGGCAUAAGUAACGAUAAAACGGGUUAAAAACCCGUUCGCCGAAAGACCAAGGUUUCCUGAUCAACGUUAAUCGGAUCAGGGUUAGUCGGAUCCUAAGGCUAAGCCAUAAGGCGAUGUCGAUGGGCAGCAGGUUAAUAUUCCUGCACCUGCCAUACGAUGAAAGUGACGUAGUGAUGAUGUAUCUGGGGGCUGACGGAAUAGCCCGCUGAGCUUAGGCUUCGGCCGAAGCGAAGGUAAUAAUUCACUUCCAAGAAAAGCGAGUAUGGCAGUUCGUACCUUAAACGGACACACGUAGUUGGGUUGAGUAUACUAAGGCGCUCGAGUGAUUCAUGGCUAAGGAACUCGGCAAAUUCACCCUGUAACUUCGGGAUAAAGGGUCCCAUUGUAAGUAUUUAUAUUUAUGGUGGGCGCAGAGAAAUGGCCCAGGCGACUGUUUAUCAAAAACACAUGGCUUUGCUAAAUCGAAAGAUGAUGUAUAAGGCCUGACACCUGCCCGGUGCCGGAAGGUUAAGAGGAGAUGUCAUCCUUUCUUUAUUGAUUGGAGAAGCAUUGAAUUGAAGCCCCGGUAAACGGCGGCCGUAACUAUAACGGUCCUAAGGUAGCGAAAUUCCUUGUCGGGUAAGUUCCGACCUGCACGAAUGGUGUAACGAUCUGGGCACUGUCUCAGCCAUGAGCUCGGUGAAAUUGUAAUAGCGGUGAAGAUGCCGCUUACCCGCAACGGGACGGAAAGACCCCGUGAACCUUUACUGCAACUUAGCAUUGAUUUUGGGUAAGUAAUGUGUAGGAUAGGUCGGAGGCUGUGAAUCAUGUUCGCCAGGACGUGUGGAGUCAUCCUUGAAAUACGACCCUUUACUUGCCCGGGAUCUAAUUCCUCCAUAGGAGGGAGACAUUGCUUGGUGGGUAGUUUGACUGGGGUGGUCGCCUCCUAAAGCGUAACGGAGGCUUCCAAAGGUACCCUCAUGACGUUUGGUAAUCGUCAGUAGAGUAUAAUGGUAUAAGGGUGCUUGACUGCGAGACUUACAAGUCGACCAGGUUGGAAACAAGGGCAUAGUGAUCCGGUGGUUCCGUAUGGAAGGGCCAUCGCUCAAAGGAUAAAAGGUACUCCGGGGAUAACAGGCUGAUCGCCGCCAAGAGCUCAUAUCGACGCGGCGGUUUGGCACCUCGAUGUCGGCUCGUCACAUCCUGGGGCUGGAGAAGGUCCCAAGGGUUGGGCUGUUCGCCCAUUAAAGUGGCACGCGAGCUGGGUUCAGAACGUCGUGAGACAGUUCGGUCCCUAUCUGUUGUGGGCGCUGGAGAUUUGCGAGAACCUGUCAUUAGUACGAGAGGACCGUGAUGGACAGACCUCUGGUGUAUCAGUUGUUCCGCCAGGAGCAUCGCUGAGUAGCUACGUCUGGAAGAGAUAAGUGCUGAAAGCAUCUAAGCACGAAGCUCGUCUCAAGAUUAUAUCUCCUUAUAAGGGGUGUUGGAGACUACAACGUUGAUAGGCUGCAGGUGUAAAGAUGGUAACAUCAAAGCCGAGCAGUACUAAUUACCCGAAACUUUUUGCUU
rnacentral:rRNA from 1 species